rnacentral:rRNA from 1 species
UACGUAGGGGGCAAGCGUUGUCCGGAAUUAUUGGGCGUAAAGAGCUUGUAGGCGGUUUGUCGCGUCUGCUGUGAAAAUCCGGGGCUCAACCCCGGACUUGCAGUGGGUACGGGCAGACUAGAGUGUGGUAGGGGAGACUGGAAUUCCUGGUGUAGCGGUGAAAUGCGCAGAUAUCAGGAGGAACACCGAUGGCGAAGGCAGGUCUCUGGGCCACUACUGACGCUGAGAAGCGAAAGCAUGGGGAGCGAACAGG